rnacentral:rRNA from 1 species
CACGUAGGGACCGAGCGUUGUCCGGAUUUAUUGGGCGUAAAGAGCUCGUAGGCGGUUCAGCAAGUCGGGUGUGAAAACUCUGGGCUCAACCCAGAGACGCCACCCGAUACUGCUGUGACUAGAGUCCGGUAGGGGAGUGGGGAAUUCCUGGUGUAGCGGUGAAAUGCGCAGAUAUCAGGAGGAACACCGGUGGCGAAGGCGCCACUCUGGGCCGGCACUGACGCUCAUGCACGAAAGCGUGGGGAGCAAACAGG